UGUCCAGGCUAGGUUCAAACCACAAUCUUCAGAUCUCAACCUCUAGAGUAGCUAGGAUUACAGGUGUAAACCACUGGUGCCCAGCUUACAAACCUAAUGUUCUUUUCUUUUGGCUGGUAAAAACAUACACACUUACAAUGUGCAGUAUUUUCCUGGCAUAACAUUUCUAAAACAAACUAACCAUGAUUAAAUAAAGUGUAAUUUCUAACUCUGUUGAAGGGAAACAGAUUGAAACAUAAUAAACAACCCUGACAUGGUGAGGCACACCUGUACCAGUACUUGGCAGGAUGAUCUCUAGUUCAAGCCCAGUCUGUGCUAUGGAGAUCUUGUUUCAAAAGACUGAGGACUAGGAAUAUAUAAGUAUAUAAUAGACAAGAGUAAUAUAGAGCACUUAACUUGGGUUUUAUCCCCAGCACUGCAAA